rnacentral:lncRNA from 1 species
GUCUUGCCACUAGAUGGAUGGUGUAGAAAUUAAUUAAAUAAAUGGCAAGCCUCAGGGCAAAGCAGUGUAAAUAGAUGCAUGAAAAGAUCUCAACUUGGAAAAAAAAUUCAAACCUAGGAAGCAAUUUUUAAAAAAAAAAAUCAAUUUAAGGUUUUCUCCCACUCAGCAUUUAAAUGCUUUCACUCCUGUAUGAAUGCUUUGAUGGUCUCUUCUCCAACUGAAGCGCUUUCUGGACUCCAUGCAUUGAUGGGAUUCCUCUCCUGUGGGAAUCCUUCAGUAUUGACGCAGUGUUGCCUUCUAACUGGGGACGGGAAUGACCCACAGUUCACCUGAGUUCACCGGAUCAGGCCCACAAGCGUUGUGCAAGGGCCCUGGAUGCCUUUGCACCCGCUACUGUGUCACAUCUUUGUAGGUGGGACUCCUUUCCACUGGACCAGGGGUCUUUUUAUCCAGCUUGGUGAAUGUCACAGGUUCAGGUGGGCAUGUGGACGUACGCAUGUGCGUGUGUUCCUUCGGCCCUUGAAAAUGUGGUGCAUAUAUGAGCUGGCCCUCCAUCUGGAAAGUUUGGAGAUCCCCCUGCCCUAGAUCUAUACGCCAGGCCCAAUUCCUCUCUAUCUUAACUGGAGGUGGGUAUGAGCCAGAGUUCAGUGGAUCAGGCCCACGAGUGUUGUGCAAGGGCCCUGGAUGCCCAACCCCACCACCCCCUGCGGGCACCCACUCAGAAGAUGUGGCAGGGAAGGCGGUGACUGAGUGGGCGCCCACGGGACGAGGUGGGGCAGGGGCACCCACAUAACACCCGUGAGCCUGAUCCACCCAACCACAGUUUGUGCCCAUCUCUAGGUCUGACUGAAGCACUUUUUCCCAGGCCACGAAGGAAGAACUGUGGUGCUGUUGGAAUUCCUAAUGUAUGUGUGUGAUAUAUAUAACAUUUGCAUCCUAGUCUCUCAAGACUGAAGGAUGCUUAAAACCUUUGCACCCACUACUGUGUCACAUCUUCCUGUGCCUGGCUUCUCUGAGCAGCCACACUGAGAGAGGCCAGAAAAAUGUCAAAGUGCAACCAGGCCUUGUUGUAGGUGAGACUCCCUUCCACUAGACCAGAGGUCUUUUAAUCCAUCUUGGUGAAUGUCACAGGCUCAGGUGGGCAUGUGGACGUGCGCAUGCGCGUGUGUUCCUUCGGCCCUUGACAAUGUGGAUCAUAUAUAAUCUGGUCCUCCAUCU